rnacentral:rRNA from 1 species
GACGAACGCUAGCGGGAGGCCUAACACAUGCAAGUCGAGCGGUAUUGCUUCUUUGGAAAUGAGUGCGCGGCGUACGGGUGCGUAACAAGCGUGCAACUUGCCUUUAUUUGGGGGAUAGAUAUUCGCAAGGAAGAUUAAUACUCAAUAAUAUAUUGAUCGGCCUCGUUUAAUAUUGAAAGAUCCGGUGGAUAGAGAUGGGUAGGCGCAAGAUUAGCUAGUUGGUGAGGUAACGGCUCACCAAGGAGAUGUUUUUUAGGGGGCCGGAGAGGGUGAUCCCCCACACUGGUACUGAGACACGGACCAGAGUCCUACGGGAGGCAGUAGUGAGGAAUACUGAUCAAUGGGUGCAAGCCUGAACCAGCCAUCCCGCGUGAAGGACGGCUGCCCUAGGGAUUAUGAACUUCGUGUGUAUAGGGAUAUACCUACCCGCGGGAGGGUAGCUGAAGGUACUAGACAAAGAAGCACCGGCUAACUCCGUG